UGACUAUAGAGGGAAAAUAGUCUAUGGGACCUUUGGUGGUAAUUUAGGUUGAAAACAAGUAACAUAAAAUAAUGGCUUUUGAAAACAAUAAACUUGCAUUAGAUACGGAACAAAACAAAACUGAUUUCCUUUGAUCUACUAACUUCUGUCAAGAUUCUUGAUAGAAUACCCAGUUGACAUACAGAGACUUUCAGCCACCACCAGAGGCCACCACCAGAUACGUGUACAGCUCCGUAGAGAAAGACUCUAGCUGCUUUUGCAGGUCACCUGCUUUGUCAAUGUUGGCAACAAUGAAAGACAGUCAAGGUAAUAGAGGAUAUAUGAAAAUGAUGGUUAUGAUGAUGGCCAGACAAUUGAACCAAGACAAUAAAUGGCUAAGAUGGGUUAGAAAAUAAAAUUAUUGAAGGAAUGGAGUUUAAAAUAUAGAGUGCUGGAAAUAUGAUCUAUAUUGGUAUUGAAAUUGCCAAGUGUAUUCAUCUGGGUUCUACAGAGAAACAGAAUACAGAAUGUGUGUGUGUGUACGUAUGUAUGUAUGUAAAAUGAGGAUUUGGCUCAUACACUUAUGGAAGCUGAGAAGUCUUAGAAUCUACAGUUGACAAGCUGCAGGGAGGAAAAAGAACAUUAAUGGUGUAGGGAGAAGACUGAUGUCUCAGCUCAAAGAUAGGCAGAAAGCUCAGUCUACCAAUUCAAAUGCUAAUUUCAUCCAGAAACACCCUCACAGACACACCCAGAAUAAUGUUUAACUAAAUAUCUAAGCACCCCGUGGACCAGUGAAGUUGACACAUAAAAUUAACCAUCAUACCAAGAAUGAGCAUUGGAUUAUAAAUUAUGUUGAAUGACAGAAUGCAGACACAAAAGAGAGGCCAUUUAUCUCAUUAUAAGUCCAUUGACAUGAACUUCAAAUAUAGGCAAAGCUGCUCUGUAGUGAUAGAUAUCAGAAGAAUUAUUACCUGAUUGCUGAGGUCAGAGGCGUGGAGUGUGACUGGAAAUGGAUAUGAUAGAAUUUUCUGAGAUAAUGCAAAAGUUCUAGAUUUGAUUUGAUGAUGUUAACAUGGGUGUAUACAUAUGACAAAACUGAUUUAAAAGCACACUUUGACCUGUGCCUUUUAUGGUUUGAAAAGUAAAUGUUGAUAAGGAAAACAUAGAAAUGCAAAUAAAAUGUUUAAAUAAUUUCAGGUAAGAGAGAGGCAGAAGGAUAGAGAGUAAAACAUAGAAAGAGAGAGAGAGGCUAGUGGGGCUUGGCAUUAACAAGAGGCACAGUGAACCAGAAAUUAAAGCAUCAGGAUGAUAGUAACCAUGAAAAGUAGUGGGUGAUGGAGUCUGAUGGCAAGAGUUGGGGCAAGUUGGAGAAGAAUGGAGAGAAUAAUUUGGAACCCACAGGAGAAAAAAAAAGAAAAAAAUAACUACCUACUCUCAGGACUAGUUCCAUAAGGUCUAUGAGAAAAAAUAAAAGGCACCUGUAUCAGUUGAGAAUUCAAUCCGGUAAACAGGAACACUAUAAGUAAUAUGGGAUAUAAGAAUUCAUUGUACUGAUUAGACUAUACACAAUUGUAGGAAUUGGUGAAGGAGCUGGGGAAAGUUAUCUCUCUGCCUCUGGUGGUGGCUGAAAGUCUCUACAUGUCAACUGGGUCAGCAGGAAGGAAGAAAACCCUUAUUUCAAGGAAAGGAAACAAACAAAACUGGAAUGCAUUCGAACAAACCAGAAUCAGCAUCAUUUUCAUUGUUUCUGAGCUUGACUAAGAAGGCAACUGGCAGAAGAGGGGAAAAUCUAAAACAUAGGUUAUUUCCAACUCUCCACCUAAUUCACAUCUGCACUUGUGCAAUUAAUCAAGGUUAGAAAUAGACAAAACCAUGUAGAGCGAUUCAACUUCAAAUUCAUCGCUAGGAUCCUUGGGUGGAUUCCUUGGCAACUCACCUGAAGGUCAUUUUCAUGGCUCUUAAACUGUAGUUUUCCGGUGCUUCCCUGCUCCGGUUCUCCUACAGUACUAUUUUAUUAAUACAUCUAUUCUUCUAUUCACAUCUCCAACACCUUCUCUCUUAUUUUCACUUUCAGCUUUUGCACUUGCUUCCUACAUCGCUGAGCAAAUUGAAGCAAUCAAAUGAGAGCUUCCAGAAACUCCACUGCAUCUAUUAGUCUACUCAAUCUGUGUUCUUAUGAUCUUUAUCCACUGGAAGGUACAAUCUUAAGGUUAAAACCUACAUUCCUAAAUAAACUCAUCUGUUUUUCUCCACUCAAAGGAAGUCAGGGACUCUGAACGGAGGGACCAACUGGAGCUGCAGCAGAGGAACAUAAAUUGUGAAGAUUUCAUGGACAUUCACCAGUUUCCAAAUAAUACUCUUAUAAUUUCUUACACCUGUCUUAAUUUAAUCUCUUAAUCCUGUUAUCUUUGUAAGCUGAGGAUGUACAUCACCUCAGGACCACUGUGAUAAUUGUGUUAACUGUACAAAUUGAUUGUAAAACAUGUGUGUUUGAACAAUAUGAAAUCAGUUCACCUUGAAAAAGAACAGAAUAACAGCGAUUUUCAGGGAACAAGGGAAGACAACCAUAAGGUCUGACUGCCUGUGAGGUCGGGCAAAACAGAGCCAUAUUUUUCUUCGUGCAGACAGCCUAUAAAUGGACGUGUAAGUAGGGAAGAUAUUGAUAAAUUCUUUUCCUAGCAAGGAGUAUUAAUAAUUAAUACCGUGGGGAAGAAUGCAUUCCUGGCGGGAGGUCUAUAAACAGUUGCUCUGGGAGUGCCGGUCUUAAGUGGUUGAGAUAAGGACCAAAAUACGCCCUGGUCUCCUGCAGUACCCUCAGGCUUACUAGGUUGGAGAAAAACCUCGCCCUGGUAAAUUUGACAUCAGAUUGGUUCUCUGCUCUCAAACCCUGUUUUCUGUUGUUUAAGAUGUUUAUCAAGACAAUAUGUGCACAGCUGAACACAGACCCUUAUCAGUAGUUCUGUUUUGCCUUGUCCUGUUUCCUCAGAAGCAUGUGAUCUUUGUUCUGCUUUUUGCCCUUUGAAGCAUGUGAUCUUGUGACCCACUCCCUGUACUUGCACCCCCUCCCAUUUUGAAGUCCUUAAUAAAACUUGCUGGUUUUGCGGCUCAGGUGGGUAGCACGGUCCUGCCGAUAUAUGAUGUCACCCCCGGAGUCCCAGCUGUAAAAUUCCUCUCUUUGUACUCUUUCUCUUCAUUUCUCAGCCAGCCGACACUUAUGGAAAAUAGAACCUACGUUGAAAUAGUGGGGGUGGGUUCCCCCAAUACUUUAUGAACAUGUAACUGCAAACCAAUGCUUUGAGUGACAAUGGAACAAGACUUCAAGUUGAAGAGCAAAUUCAGAUAAAGCCAAGUUUUUUCUAUAGUAUUUCAUAGGAAAGUGACAUGUAUUCUACUAGCAAGGACAGGGUAUGGGAUGAAACAUUUCCUUUCAGAAGAAUUGAAAUUUUUUUGUUGCAGUGUUGUAAACACACAAGGUUGUACCCCUUAUAAUAAUCAUAUAAUACUUUAAUUAUUUACCAGUUAUGCUAGAAAGCUUGCAAAUACCACAUCUUCCAAAUAUAAUAUUGACAACUCACCAUGGUGAAAAUGGGUGCUAAGUCAGAAAUAAGUUAAUAUUCUUUUGCUGAGCACAUACUAUAUUAGCACUUAUUUGGGGAAACUAAAAAGAAUGAGAAACACAGGCCCAAGUUGAGAUAUUUUCCAUCCAACUUCAUGAAGGCAGCAUAUAUUGUUAAGGAUUCUGGGUUAGGCUUUGAAUCCUACUUCUAUAAUUUGCUGGUUAGAAAACUUUAGGCAGGGUGCAUAACCUCACUGAGAGUCUAUUUACUUAGCUGUAAAAUGACCAAGAUAUUAUCAACUUCUGUAUGUGGAGCUGUGGAGAUGAUCAGUCAGUAUAUUCCACCAUAAACAUAGUCAUUCUCUUUAUGUCCACAAAGCAUUUGCCAUUUAAUGGCAUAAAAUAUUUGAAAAUAUUUCUACACCAUAAUGGAUUUGAUCUUGUCACAAGUAAAAUGUAAAUUAUCGGCACCAUAUGAAAUAAAACAUUUAUAAUUAACCUGGUUUCUAGUGCAAGACUGGGGAGUCUUGGGCAAACUAUGUUCUUAUAAUGGCCCUAAUACCAUCCUCAACAUAGUGAAAUGAGCUGUGUUUCAGAAGAAAAACUUACCCACUUUGAUGUCCCACUCUGAACUAAAAGCUUGGAUUUGGUGAAUACUUACAGAAGAAAUUGAGGUGACCAGAGAGGUUUUUAAACUGCUUUGAACAUAAUUUUCCCUCUAAUGGAAGAAACGGCCAGAGAUAAAACUCAGACCUUCAAAAGUCACCUGCAAAAUGAUUUACUUAUAGCAAUGGCAUAAAUUAUCUAAUUAUAAUAUAGAAAUUUUACUUUAACUUUCUAGAUAGAAAAGUUUCAGAAAUUUCUUUUAUGUUCAUUUCUGUGGUCCACUGUCUAGUCUGAAAGUCUGCCAGAAUCUCUCAGGCUUUUAAAUUACAGAAAUUAUUUGAGACAGACAUUUUGGAAGCUCACCAUAGAAAGGGAAAUUUAUUAAGUUUUAGGCAUUAAGUUAAGACUUGUAUUUUACUUUCUCUAUAUAUUUGAAACAGGUCAAUUCCAGGUUGGAAAAUUCCUGUCAGAUAUUCCCAUUACAAAAUAUACCUAAAAAGUUUUCUCAAAGCUAAGGAUUAUUUAUGUCACAUAUAUUUUUGAAAAAUUAGAAAUAUUUUGGUUAUGUUACUUACACAGUUUAGCCUAUUUUAAUCAUUUUUUUUCUUGUGCACAUAACCAGGUGAAGCACUGAAAUUCAUCAAUUAUGUUAUUCAACUAUGAUGUUAAAUCAUUAGAACUGGGGGCCAGGUGUGGCAGCUCAUGCCUGUAAUCCUAGC
rnacentral:lncRNA from 10 species